GUGGAGCAUGUGGCUUAAUUUGACAACGCGGGAAAUCUUACCGGGUCCGGACACACUGAGGAUUGACAGGCGUUAUUAAGUGUCUCGUAUUCUCUGUAAUACAGUACACUUAUGUUAAAUAUGCUAGUCCUUUCAUGAUUAUGUGAUAGGUGGUGCAUGGCCGUUCUUAGUUCGUGGAGUGAUCUGUCUGCUUAAUUGCGUUUCACUAAGGGCCUAUAUUUACUAGUAUGUUGCAGGCGCAUUGACCCCUCACCUUAAUCAGGUGCUUGCGCGUGUCUUUGAUCUACGUCUUGCUCAUACGUUUAGGUCCUGAAAGCAACGAACGUGACCG
rnacentral:rRNA from 1 species